GUGCCAGCAGCCUGCGGUAAUUCCAGCUCCAAUAGCGUAUAUUAAAGUUGUUGUGGUUAAAAAGCUCGUAGUUGAACCUUGGGCCUGGCUGGCCGGUCCGCCUCACCGCGUGCACUGGUCCGGCCGGGCCUUUCCCUCUGUGGAACCCCAUACCCUUCACUGGGCGUGGCGGGGAAACAGGACAUUUACUUUGAAAAAAUUAGAGUGCUCCAGGCAGGCCUAUGCUCGAAUACAUUAGCAUGGAAUAAUAAAAUAGGACGCGCGGUUCUAUUUUGUUGGUUUAUAGGACCGCCGUAAUGAUUAAUAGGGACAGUCGGGGGCAUCAGUAUUCAACUGUCAGAGGUGAAAUUCUUGGAUCAGUUGAAGACUAACUACUGCGAAAGCAUUUGCCAAGGAUGUUUUCAUUAAUCAGGAACGAAAGUUAGGGGAUCGAAGACGAUCAGAUACCGUCGUAGUCUUAACCAUAAACUAUGCCGACUAGGGAUCGGGACGGUGUUAUUCAUGACCCGUUCGGCACCUUACGAGAAAUCAAAGUGCUUGGGCUCCAGGGGGGAGUAUGGUCGCAAGGCUGAAACUUAAGGAAAUUGACGGAAAGGGCACCACCACGGGUGGGAGCCUGCGGGCUUAAUUUGACUCAACACGGGGAACCUCACCCAGUCCCAGACACCAAUAAGGAAUGACAGAAUGAGAGCUCUUUCUUGAUUUUGUGGGUGGGGGGGCAUGGCCGUCCUAAGUUGGUGGGGGGGACUUGUCUGCUUAAUA
rnacentral:rRNA from 1 species